AUGACAGGCCUUAACCCACCAAACUCCUUUAAUGUGCUUGUUUCUGUGUGUUUGAUGUAUAUACUUUGGAUACUUGGUUUUAUACUUUCCCUCAUUCUUAAAGGAGACUGGUCAUACUUUUCAUUCUAAAGAGUAUUGGACUUCAAUGUCUCAGUAAGGUCUCUGUAAAUUUUAAUUCCAUAAAACCCUUUAGAUCGUCCACACUGCCCCUGUCAAUGUGUGGUUUUCACUCCCCAUCAGUAAACACUGUUUUCUGGGCGUGUUGCUCGCGCAUACCUUUUUUGUUGUUUUUUUUUAAAAUUGGCUUCAUGGAUAAGCGCCACCGCAUGGUUAGGAUACAAUAGGUGGCAGUAGUGCAACAUUGAGAAUGCAAUCCAACGCAAUCCUGCAAAGAAGAAGACCCACUACAGGACUGCACGACAAUAGCCAGCUGGUCUGGUAGCGUAGUACAACUAUACAUCUACGUCCCGAAUCUGACCCUGAAGCUGAAGAGGAGGCUGUUGAAGUCACCACAUUUCAGCUGAUGCAAGAUGUGUCUCAUUGAACUGAGCGCGAAGAGGGUAAAUCCAGAUCUGGACUCCUUUCCCACCGUCAGCAGAAGAACCGAAAGAGAAGAAGCGCCUGACCAACAACCAGAACCAGGUGGAAGCUCUGAUACCACAGCAGCUGGAGGACACAGACCACAGCAUGGAGGCCUCAGCGACUCCCACAACGUCUGCAGCCAUCACGUUCUGGGCUCAUCAGACUCACCAGAUAGUACAAGUCCUGCACCAGCAUGAAAGGACUGUCUGAAGCUUCAGAGGCCGUGAAACUGUCAUACAAGCGUGUGUGUCUGACACAGACACCUGCUUAUGACUAUCAGAAAAGGAAAACAAGGUAAGACAAACAGCAGAGUGAGAAGACGUGCUCUGUCACAGACACUGGUUGAAACAACAGAAGAGGCUUCAGACGUGAUUGGCCCAAUAGAGCUGCAUCCGAGGAUCCAGAAAAGGUCUGUCAUCGAGGAACAACUGUCCCUGCUACGUCAGGCUCCACCCACUGGCGCUCACAUCAGACUGAUGGUUGGGGAGGGAGGAAGGUGAACGUUCCUUUUCACAUGACGUAGAAGACUGUACCGCAAACACACACACACACAUUUCCACGCACGCAAUGAAGAAACACGCUUACCGCUGAUACAUGCUCAAUUGAUCCAAAUUCAUGCUUAUCUUUUGGCAAUGAAGAAUUGCUUUUUGCUCAAAACAUACCACAGAGUGAUUUUAAAAUUAUGACAAACAGCUAAAUGACAACUGCUGCAUGACUUUACAGUCUGAUGGGUUUAAACUAUUUCAAUUUGCAACAACUUAAGUAUUAAAAUCCUCCAUGUUUUUAAAAGAUUUGUGCACACUAUAGGUUUGUCUGGCCAGACUCUAGGAAAAACAAAACCAGAGCUUUCGUGAACAGAUGUCAACGGGGUGGAGACUGGUGAACGACUUCUGACCCCAUGUGACGUAUUCACCUACUUUACAUACUUUUUGAAAACCUUUAUUUUAUUCUGCCCGUCAUGCGCAACAGUGAACUUGGUGCCUCCGCAUUCUAAUGAAAUACACUACAUUUAGUUUAUUUUUAUUUUUCAGAGGACGCUCUGAACACUCAGCCUUACAGGAAGCCCUGCUUCCCUGUGGCUCACACACAGACAUGAUGUAGGUUUGAUCAGAGGAUGUGAACCAGUGGUCAUCACACCUGAAUCUGACCACAGACCUCGUAAACAACACCAUCCUCUUAAAGGAAGCUAUAGACGGCGUUACUGCAGACACCACUAAGCUACUGAAACAUUGGAUGCUAUAGGCCACAAAGAGAGCCUGUCUAAAUUACAGUUUGUUCAGACUAAGGUAAGGUUGUAGGACUUUCGUUCCUAACUCUACUGUCUUUGAGGCCCCACUCAGGGUUCUAAUGCAGAUGUGUCUUCAUUGUUCACUUCUUGUCUCACGUGGACGUCUGAGGCUGAACAACGUUCACUGAUCUCAUGCUUGCCUUUCAGUCGGCUCCUACUUUGGGUCUUCCUGAUCUGACCCUACUCAAACAGUGGAUGAGAAAUAAGGUUGUACCACUUUUGUUCUUUUGUCCUUAUACUGUGUCUUUGAUUCUUUUGGAAUAGAAAACAUCACAUCUUUCUACAGCCCGAUGGCUUAGAUGCAACACCAUCUUGCUUAACAUGCUGAGGCCGUCUUGAAGUCUGGCGCUUUGCUAAGACACUACUUUCCUCAGGCUGCAGAGUUGACUGCGUUGACUGAAGCUAGUGAACUAUCAGAAGUAGAGUCUGUUACCAUCUACACAGACUCCACAGAUGCUCUGUGGAAGCAUAGGAAGCUUUUGAAGUCUUAUUGCAAACCUAUCUUACAUGAUUAGGUUGCUGCUUUGCUGGAGAUUGUUCUGCCACCUACAGCUAAUGCUGUUUGUAAUUGUCCCCCUCACACCGUCAAUGACAACUUUGUUUCUGCCGACAUGCAGCUGCAGACGCUCCUCUCCUCAUCCUCGUUUCCUCUCCAACUCUCUCUACCUCUCCUUCCUCAUCUCCCUGUGUUUUAAACAUUUUCUACCUCACAGGAACGCAGACUCUGGCAGACGAAUGGUUCCACCUGUAGCCAUGGAGUCUGGUUUGGGCCUGAUGGCAGCCGUGCCGCCAAACACUUUUUCCCCACAAUUCAGAUUUCCCAACAGGUGAAAACAGGCGACAGGACCAUUAUACACCAUCCAACCAGGGGACUGGGCGAUCGUUAGGGAGUUCAGGAGGAAGCACUGGACCUCCAAACAGUGGCAAAGCCCCUUCCAGGUCCGUCUGACGACCCACACAGCUGAAAGAUAGCAGAGAGAGCGACUUGGAUCCACUCCAUCCACUGCAGGAAGGUCCCGGACCCAACAGACGACCCUCCAUCUACAUCCUACAGACAAAACCACCACUAACGAAAAGAACUGAGAAGAACGUCCCUCGCUGUGCUCACACACGCACUGAGGCAAGGCUGCGUUGACCGUUCAGCUAAAGGUGUGAGCCAAGCGCCACCUGAAGCUGCGCCGGUGAAUCACACUAUCAGACCAUACAUCUACACACACGCUCCUGAGAAAACACACACACAAGCAGCCUUGAGUUGCCAACGCUGGACGACGUGUAGACUCUUCACAUCACGGGGGUACAUACAUUAAUUGUCUUUAUUACAUUACAAUCGAAUUGCCGUAGACACGUUGUUAGCAGAGAAAGGAGGCAUUUGUGUUUUGUUUGGAGAGGCAUGUUGUACUUACAGUACAUCCUGAAAAACACUGAUUCUAAUGAUACUGUGACAAAGGUGCUCAGGGGGGCUAAGGGGUGCAACCAGCUGCUGAAACCAAGCAAAUCUGUUAAGUAAACAAUCGGAGCAAAAAGAAUAAAAAAUAAAAAAUAAAAAAAAUAAAUAAGAAGCAGGGAUGUACCUUAGGCUAACACAUUCAUAACUAAACAAUUUUUGUACUGUGGUUUACCUUGGAGAUUAUUACUAAUACCAAUAAUAGUGCUAAGGUAUGUGCACAUACUAAUACAAACAUAUACAUACAAUAUACAUACAUAUGUGCAUUAUUAUACAUAUCUCAUACUACUUAAUAAAAGUCAUGACAUACAACACCACAAAUUCCAUAUUCACACAUUAUUCAUAUUGGUAGUGAUAAGUGUCAAUAAUACUUACAGUUGGAUUUGGAAAGUGUCCCACUACAAGGUUAGUAAGGCUGUAGCUUAACAUUAUUUACCCAAAGGGUGAGGCAGACGUUGGUGCAUGAACAAUGCCACUUGUGGAAGCCAGGGUGAUGUGAGGGGCUUGGCCACUACGCCCAUCCAGCAAGCAGAGGAAGGAAUCCCAGCAGCCAGGGAGCCCACACACCUUCAGUUCCAGGAGGGCAGGUGUUGCGACCCAAGCCGCCCACACAGAGCCCCCCAGGCAGAGCUGCAGCAGCCACAGAGACAGCACCCGAGGCCAGAGCGGGCCACCGGGGGUCAACGCUGUCCGCCCCAUGAGAACCAGGGGCAAACACUCCCACCGGCGGGAGGGUCGGCCUGAAAGAGUAGAGCCCGAGGAUCCACGGUCCGUAGGGAGCCCGCCAGAAGAUGCCCCCGUGCGCAGAGUGGGGCCCGCCCCCAGCCCACCAACCCCACACGAGCGGAGCGGGACCAACCCCAUCGGCCCGACCUCAUCACCUGGCGCCACCGCGGCCUGCAGCACAAGGCCAGCAAUUGGUGGGGUCAGCAGAAAAGAGACCACCCAGGCAGACGAUCAUCGUACCCCGGGCGAAAAACCGGACCCCCCACACUUCAACCGCACCACACGCAUACCAACUCACACAAACACAGACGCAUACACCCACCACAUGUGCAACACACAUCUUCACAUCAACACAUACAAACACCAUAGACUCUCUCACAACAAACUAGUCAAUCAUACGUGAACCAAUGCACUCUCAGAUACAUUCUCGCACCCACACCAAUGACAAUUUUUAUUCUUAGUGUUUGAUUAAUGGGUAAUCAGAAGGGGGGAGUGUUACGGGAAAAAAUGUUUCUUCCUUAUUCUAUGCAGUUAUUAUAUGAUUUAUGACUUAUGUUCUGCAAUUAAUAGCUUAUGUUUUGUCUUACUGUAUGUAUUUGACAUUUCACCUACAUUGUUUAAUGGUUGUCUAUGCCUGAUAGACUCUCAACUCUAGCUCCCAAACCCAAGGCCAGGGAGUUGUGUCUCUGUCUGUUGAGACUUGGUGCUCUUUUCUUACAGAUAGUUGGACGUCAGCAAGGCAGGUUUGAGAAUGUAAACAUUUCCACACACAGGGCGACAGGGAAGAGAUGGUGCAUGCAGUCUGAUUGGGCUACACAGACGUUCCACCAUUUUUGUACAGAGAGGUUAAAAGGCAGAGACAACUUGAGGAUUGUGGACUCUUUGCAUCACACCUUCGUGGUGUAUGCACUGAUCUCCCCAGCUGUUUUUUUGGUUUGUUGAUGUGCACGAUCAACAUCCAUGCUUUUUAUUUGCUUUCCCCAUUAUUUUUAUUUUCCUUUAUUUUUUAUAAUAAAUCACUCAAAAGACAA